ACAAAGUGAAGUCUCUACGUGAACCAGCCCCUUCGUCUGUGGCUAAAAAUACUCAAGUAAAGUACGUUUUGUGAACAUACUUGUAUUUUUCUCUACAAAAACCAGGCAUCUUCAUUCUGGCGCAGAGGCUUCAAACAGUGGUUAAUUGAUUUAAUUGUUGGAUGAUUUUCACAUUUGUUCUGCCUCUGAGAGGAGGCGGUCGAAGUGACGCUGACAGCUCUGUGCUGACAGAGGAAUGGCUGGAAUGUUGCAUAACUUUGUUAUGUUUGCCAUAAUACGUGGCUGUUUGCUCUUCAUGGACGCCUGUGGGAACAGGACUCUGCGUAUUAAAUUUGGUGGUGAGUUUGACGGCUCAGAUUUAAAAUCUCUGCUCGCCUGAAUGUAAAAAGUCAAAACAGCCUUGAAGCAUGUGUAAACCUGUGGCAUUCUUGAACUGAACAAGAAAAUGUUUUUCCUUCUAUCAACACACAAAGACCAGAUGUGCUGAGGGAAAUUAUUUGAAUCCUAAUCAUUCCUCUAUGAAUUGUGAGCAGACAAGCUGCAGAGGACAGAGAUCCAGGUACUGUGAUAUAACACCCCCCAAAGGCGCUCCACCCCCCUCAACACACACGGAUACCUUUGCUCAGUUGUACGGAAAGCUGGAAAUGUUCCUGCAGAAGUUCUCUAGUCCAACCCCUUUGGUGCUCCGGCCGUGCUGCUGCUGCUAACAUGUUGCAGAUGAACGUUCUGCUGUUCGGUCACCAACGUAAGCUGCAGCACUGAAGGGACACCUGCUUUUCUCAUGGAGGACAUGUUCACACAGAGAAGCAUGCAUGUGAACAGCUCCAGAGUCAAAGUUUUGGUUAAAAACAAACUUGUAAUUCACGCUAGGCUGAAAAGCAGGAGCAAAAAUGAGAAGAGAGGAGAUUUACGGCAUUUCUCCCUCAGAAAACUGCAGACAUCUGACCAGCAAAAUGAGCAGCCUGAAGCCCAGCAGCAUCCCAAGGAAUGCUGGGGGAUGUUCCUGCAGAGGAUUACAAGAACAUGUCCCGACUGCGGUGUCUCUGCUGAGGUUUGGAGCAUGAACAGGGCAAAAAUCUGAGGGACAAGAAGGGGGCCUGGCUGUGGCUGAACACUGUCAUCUGGACGAGAGGCUUCUGUUUUGAGCAUCAGAGACUAAAGCUGCGUCCUUGCUGGGGGAUCCAAGUCGUUUCCGCUUUACGGAUGCAGUAUAGGCUGUGGUGCAGAGGUGGAGCAGCUGACCUCUGAUCACAUGGUUCUGAGGUUUGGUUCCCACUGUCCCCGCCAAUGUGCUGAAGAGGAUGAAGAGGAGCCGCCUUUAGCGCGUGUGCGUACAUGGGUGAAUGUGUGCGUACAUGGGUGAAUGGGACUGUGAACCACUUUGGGGCGUAAAGUAAGGCAGAAAAGUGUUCUAUUUUCAGUUGGGGGUUUAUUAUUCAUGUCACGUUUCUCAGUUUUCCAAAGUCCAACAGCUGAAAAGCUGACGAUAAGAAAAUGUUGUCAAAAAAUGCUUUUUUUUUUCUUUCUUUUUUUUUACAGAACAUCAACCAAACAUAAUUUUCAUUUCAAAAUUCUUCUCAAAGUCAAAAAUGCAUUUAAUCUUUACUUCAAAAAAAAAAGUCAUAAAUUUGCUUAAAAACAAAAGCCUCAAUCCAGAAACUUUAUGUACGGAGUCCUUAAGUCCUUACAUUACAUUAAAAAACUAAAAUAUAUCUUCUUCCCACAAGAUAAUAUUCUGUUCCCUCAAAACAGUUAAUUCGUGCGAACUAAAUAAUUUGUGCGAACAGAAUGAUACUAGCCAAUCAUUUAUCCAUGGAUGUGAGUAAAAUCCCGUCAUGCAUCACGCAUACCCAAGAUGCAUUUCGACCAAUCACCGUGUCUCUUUAACUGAAGUGUAACAACAAGACCAAAGAUUGGCUGGUCAAAAUGCAUCUUGGGUAUGCGUGAUGCAUGACGAGAUAUUGCAUGUUUGUAAUACUAAGAUCUAAGAGCUAAGUCUGGUAGGCGAAACAGCCAGCCAAAUCUUAUGAUAUUUUUCUGAUUUUCAUCAAAGACAAUAAUAGAUCGAUCAUUCUUGCUUUUAACUUUACGCCGUUUGAAUGUUCACAGAGACACGGAAGUAGCGGCAGAAAACGGCUUUUGCAGCAAGAUGGACGGAGAGCGUACCAGGAUGUGAAUGAACGUAAUUACCAAUGCUUUUGUGCUUUCUAAAAUAAAUAAAUCUGAUCUGUAAACAUCCUCUGUGUCUUCAAUGCAAUGUAAUGAGACACACACAAACAGAAAUGUGACGGUAUCUGCUGUAAAUCCAACUAUUACUCCCAUCCGUGUCAAUGAAUAACAGGAUAAAUGAUUGGCUAGUAGUUAGCAUGUAGCCUACUUGCCUUUGAAUGUAAAGCGACUGCUAAAGAGUAUGUUAAUAAAAGACAAGUUGUCAUGGUGCCUCUGUCAGCUCUCCUCCCCCUCCCCUCUCUGCUUGGCUCCUGGUGAUUCCCAGCUGUGUCCACUCAUCUCAUCUACCACCAGACCUUCAAAAGGAGAUCCAGAACCAGUAUUCAUCGCCAGUUCGUUACCCCUGAUGGACCUUCAUAUCACGAGUGGACACCUGAGUCACCUGUUUAACCGAGCUGAAGAACCUCACUGAGCUCCAAGAACCUCAAGCCACGCCACGAGCCAAUUUAGACCUUCAGCCAUGCCACGAGCCAUAGCUACUUCCAGGAACUUCACCUGCUGCUCUCCAGCCUCCAGCCACAUCAAGAUCUCAAGCAACUCCGAAUAACAUUAAACCUUUACUUACCAACUUA